UACGGAGGGUGCAAGCGUUACUCGGAAUCACUGGGCGUAAAGCGCGCGCAGGCGGCUUAAUAAGUUGGAUGUGAAAGCCUACGGCUCAACCGUAGAACUGCAUCCAAAACUGUCAAGCUAGAGUCUGGGAGGGGAAGAUGGAAUUAGUUGUGUAGGGGUAAAAUCCGUAGAGAUAACUAGGAAUACCAAAAGCGAAGGCGAUCUUCUGGAACAGUACUGACGCUGAGGCGCGAAAGCGUGGGGAGCAAACAGGAUUAGAUACCCUGGUAGUCCACGCCCUAAACGAUGAAUGUUAGUCGUCGGAGGCCUAGUGUCUUCGGUGAUGCAGCUAACGCAUUAAACAUUCCGCCUGGGGAGUACGGUCGCAAGAUUAAAACUCAAAGGAAUAGACGGGGACCCGCACAAGUGGUGGAGCAUGUGGUUUAAUUCGAAGAUACGCGAAGAACCUUACCUAGCCUUGACAUAUUUGAGAACUCUGCAGAGAUGCGGAGGUGCCUUCGGGAACUCAUAUACAGGUGCUGCACGGCUGUCGUCAGCUCGUGUCGUGAGAUGUUGGGUUAAGUCCCGCAACGAGCGCAACCCUCGUCACUAGUUACUAACGGUUCGGCCGAGGACUCUAGUGAGACUGCCUUCGCAAGGAGGAGGAAGGUGAGGACGACGUCAAGUCAUCAUGGCCCUUACGGCUAGGGCAACACACGUGCCACAAUGGCCAGGACAGUGAGACGCGAUACCGCGAGGUGGAGCAAAUCUAUAAACCUGGUCUCAGUUCGGAUUGUAGUCUGCAACUCGACUACAUGAAGCUGGAAUCACUAGUAAUCGUAGAUCAGCUAUGCUACGGUGAAUACGUUCCCGGGUC
rnacentral:rRNA from 1 species